GUAGGUGGCAAGCGUUGUCCGGAAUUAUUGGGCGUAAAGCGCGCGCAGGCGGUUCUUUAAGUCUGAUGUGAAAGCCCACGGCUCAACCGUGGAGGGUCAUUGGAAACUGGAGAACUUGAGUACAGAAGAGGAAAGCGGAAUUCCACGUGUAGCGGUGAAAUGCGUAGAGAUGUGGAGGAACACCAGUGGCGAAGGCGGCUUUCUGGUCUGUAACUGACGCUGAGGCGCGAAAGCGUGGGGAGCAAACAGGGAUUAGAUACCCUGGUAGUCCACGCCGUAAACGAUGAGUGCUAAGUGUUAGGGGGUUUCCGCCCCCUUAGUGCUGCAGCUAACGCGUUAAGCACUCCGCCUGGGGAUACGGCCGCAAGGCUG
rnacentral:rRNA from 1 species